CUGCUUCGCUUUCGUCUAUAAAUACCGAGUCCCGCUUGGCCCGACUCCUCCUCGCGUGAGCUCGAAGGAAACAUAAAUAGAUCGAUCACCUUCUCCUGCUCUUGGGAAGAAGUAUUCCAGGUGUAGUAGGAGGUUGAAGACAUUCCCCAAGCCCAUAUCAUUAGUGGUUGCUCCUGUCACCAUGAGGCAGAGAAAUUGCAAGAGAAGAAACCACUGAUGAAGUGUGGUGCAUCAGAUGAUGCUGCUUCGGCACGGUCCAUGAAUUUUUGCUUUGACUGCAGCAUCUGUUUGGAAUUUGCCGUUGAUCCAGUGGUCACACUGUGCGGUCAUCUCUAUUGUUGGCCUUGCAUCUUCAAAUGGAUGCAGGUUGAGAGCAUAUCUAAUCAGCAGUGCCCUGUCUGCAAGGCCCUUCUCUCUCAGGAUACCCUCAUCCCACUCUACGGUCGCGGCAGGCACAGCACCAAGGGAGAUUCUGCUGUCCCACAUCGACCGACCCUUCACCAUCACUGUGAUGGUGCAACAAUUACUUCGGCACUCGAGAACGAUUCCCCUAGGAUGAAUGAAGCCCAGCAGCCUCAGUUUCGCCAUCAACACCACUACCCCUCUUAUGCUGGUCUUGGCAACAGUUACACAUCAGAGUCUUCUUCUUCACCACAGACGUCACCUUGGUUUUGUUCAACAACUGGGAGUGUGCUUGGUGGUUUAGCUAUCUCCAUUCUUCCUUGGGUUUUCAGGAAUCAUGGAGCAAGCAUAUACUACUCAAAUUCGCAUCGUCUCACAUUGGGUGUGAGCAGUCCAAGGCUGAGAAGGCAGCAGAUGCAGGUGGAGAGUUCUCUGCAUCAGAUAUGGCUCUUCCUUUUCUUCUGUGCUAUAUCGUGUCUUCUGUUGUUCUAACAGACAUUAACUACUUUGAUGUACAUGUUCUUAAGUUGAAUGGCAGAGGUUGUGACCAAAGAAAA